CGACCGCUGGCGGCGUGCUUACCACAUGCUCGUCGAACGGCAAGGCCCUGCUUUUGUGGGGUGCUCGAGUGGCGAACGGGUGAGUAACACGUGAGUAACCUGCCCUUGACUUUGGGAUAACUUCAGGAAACUGGGGCUAAUACCGGAUAGGAGCUCCUGCUGCAUGGUGGGGGUUGGAAAGUUUCGGCGGUUGGGGAUGGACUCGCGGCUUAUCAGCUUGUUGGUGGGGUAGUGGCUUACCAAGGCUUUGACGGGUAGCCGGCCUGAGAGGGUGACCGGCAACAUUGGGACUGAGAUACGGCCCAGACUCCUACGGGAGGCAGCAGUGGGGAAUAUUGCACAAUGGGCGGAAGCCUGAUGCAGCAACGCCGCGUGCGGGAUGACGGCCUUCGGGUUGUAAACCGCUUUCGCCUGUGACGAAGCGUGAGUGACGGUAAUGGGUAAAGAAGCACCGGCUAACUACGUG
rnacentral:rRNA from 1 species